CCUACGGGAGGCAGCAGUGGGGAAUAUUGCGCAAUGGGCGAAAGCCUGACGCAGCGACGCCGCGUGAGGGAUGAAGGUCUUCGGAUCGUAAACCUCUGUCAGCAGGGAAGAACGGUCACUGUGCUAAUCAGCAGUGAAUUGACGGUACCUGCAAAGGAAGCACCGGCUAACUACGUGCCAGCAGCCGCGGUAAUACGGAGGGUGCGAGCGUUAAACGGAAUCACGGGGCGUAAAGCGCUCGUAGGCGGUAUGUCAAGGCAAGGGGGAAAUCCCCGCGCUCAACGUGGGAAGUGCCUUUGAAACUGGCAAACUGGAGUGUGUGAGAGGAUAGUGGAAUUCCAGGUGUAGGAGUGAAAUCCGUAGAUAUCUGGAGGAACAUCAGUGGCGAAGGCGACUAUCUGGCACAUAACUGACGCUGAGGAGCGAAAGCGUGGGUAGCAAACAGGAUUAGAUACCCCUGUAGUC
rnacentral:rRNA from 1 species